CCAGGAGCAGGGUUGGAGAUCCCUGGCCUACAGUGUCUCUUCUCCUACAAGUAAAAUCAUUAAUGAUGGAGCAGCUCCUGAAGGCAUGGAGAGCAUGAAACCAAGGCAGUCGUGACAAGAAGAGGAAAGGUUUUUUCCCCCUGCAGACCACUCUCACCUGCAGCUCAUCACAAUUAUACAAGGUCGAGGGGAAAAAACUCUUAAACUGUUUGACCUGUAUCUUUGCUAAGGUCUAAAAUGUAACUGAAGCAAUGAUUGUGUUCUGUGGUAAAGGAGCCAAGAACAAGCAAGAAAAAAAGCAACUGAGAGAAAGUACAAAGACUUCUGAAAUACAUACCACAAACUGUACCCGCAAGAUAGAAGAGAUUUUCAUCUUUUUUUUUUUUAACCUACCAC
ensembl:lncRNA